CAACCAGCAAAACAUCAAAUAUAUUUCGGAAAUACCUUUGGAAAAGUAAACAGCAAAUAUGUUUAACCUAGUAAAUCCUUAAGAAAGGAGUUCUGUUACCAUCUACUUGUUCACAACUUCUCAACAGAGUGGAAAACAUCAGUCUGUUGGAAUGAAAAAAUCUAAAAAUAAUUAACAACAACAAAACGAGCAACACUUAUGUUAAUUAAAUCUUUUAAGCUAAAUGGGCAAAAUAAAGCCAUUGUUUUGAGUGGAAAUAGCUUUUAUUG